rnacentral:rRNA from 1 species
UACGUAGGGUGCGAGCGUUGUCCGGAAUUAUUGGGCGUAAAGAGCUUGUAGGCGGUUUGUCGCGUCUGCCGUGAAAAUCCGGGGCUCAACCCCGGACUUGCGGUGGGUACGGGCAGACUAGAGUGUGGUAGGGGAGACUGGAAUUCCUGGUGUAGCGGUGAAAUGCGUAGAUAUCGAGAGGAACACCUGCGGCGAAGGCGGGUUGCUGGGCCGACACUGACGCUGAGGCGCGAAAGCUAGGGGAGCGAACGGG